GGGGCUGUGGCUCAGUGGUAGAGCACUCGCCUGGCAUGUGUGAGGCACUGGGUUCGAUCCUCAGCACCA
rnacentral:tRNA from 1 species